GGCCGACUAGCUCAGUUGGUUAGAGCGUCGUGCUAAUAUUAAUGUUAACGCGAAGGUCUUGGGUUCGAUCCCCACGUUGGCCA